rnacentral:rRNA from 1 species
CCUACGGGUGGCUGCAGUGGGGAAUAUUGCACAAUGGGCGCAAGCCUGAUGCAGCCAUGCCGCGUGUGUGAAGAAGGCCUUCGGGUUGUAAAGCACUUUCAGCGGGGAGGAAGGCGGUGAGGUUAAUAACCUCAUCGAUUGACGUUACCCGCAGAAGAAGCACCGGCUAACUCCGUGCCAGCAGCCGCGAUAAUACGGAGGGUGCAAGCGUUAAUCGGAAUUACUGGGCGUAAAGCGCACGCAGGCGGUCUGUCAAGUCGGAUGUGAAAUCCCCGGGCUCAACCUGGGAACUGCAUUCGAAACUGGCAGGCUAGAGUCUUGUAGAGGGGGGUAGAAUUCCAGGUGUAGCGGUGAAAUGCGUAGAGAUCUGGAGGAAUACCGGUGGCGAAGGCGGCCCCCUGGACAAAGACUGACGCUCAGGUGCGAAAGCGUGGGGAGCAAACAGGAUUAGAUACCCGGGUAGUC